rnacentral:rRNA from 1 species
GUGGGGGAUAUUGCGCAAUGGGGGAAACCCUGACGCAGCAACGCCGCGUGGAGGAAGACGGUUUUCGGAUUGUAAACUCCUUUUGUUAGGGACGAAAUCUGACGGUACCUAACGAAUAAGCUCCGGCUAACUACGUGCCAGCAGCCGCGGUAAUACGUAGGGAGCAAGCGUUAUCCGGAUUUACUGGGUGUAAAGGGUGCGUAGGCGGCUAUGUAAGUCAGAUGUGAAAUUUAGAGGCUCAACUUCUAAACUGCAUUUGAAACUGUAUAGCUUGAGUGAAGUAGAGGUAGGCGGAAUUCCCUGUGUAGCGGUGAAAUGCGUAGAGAUAGGGAGGAACACCAGUGGCGAAGGCGGCCUGCUGGGCUUUAACUGACGCUGAGGCACGAAAGCGUGGGUAGCAAACAGGAUUAGAAACCCUAGUAGUCC